GUGUUGUGUUCUACUUGUUUCUUGAAGCAUAAAUUGAAAUUUAUAACAAUUUAUGCUUCAAGAAACAUGAAUGACGAAACAAGUUUUACUUGUUUCGCUUGUUUCUCGAAACAAAAUAGCGGAACAAUGGUUCGACAAACCGACCCUUUUAAAAAUCUGAUGUACAUAUUGGGACCUUCAUUCGAAGAUCGACAGAGAAUAUCCCUGUACAACCGUUGAAGACGACGGUUCCCCAGUUCACCGAGAUCUCUUCUCCCCCUGCGUAACCGACGACGAGGAAGCAACGAUCUCCUCCUGCGUAACCGACGACGGGGAGCGGUGAAGGAUGAUCCGUGGGACCCGUUGAUGGCUUUCAGUCACAGAGAAGAGAGAGAAAGAGAGAGAGAAGAAAGAAAAGGUAUUGAAGACUUCAACGUCACGACAGUGAAGGGAUUGUAAAAGACAGCCAGCAAUGAAGAGGGAGGCUCACCUACCAGGAGUAUAGAGACUGGGAUUGUACCCCAUCUCUUAUCUUCCUUCACGUUCUUUUCCCCCUUUUUUUAGGGUUUGUUUCUCCCAUUCCCUCUUCCUCUUUCAAACAUCUUCUUCUUCUUCAACCUUCUCUGUUCCUUUAUUACUUGCAAAAAAAAUGUCUUUUUUCUGGGCUGUGCUCACCUUGAAGGUUAGGGUUUAGAGUAGGUUUUGGUUUUUCUUUCUCCUCCUCUUCUUCUUCAUUUGUCGUUGGUUUGGAGUAGUUUUCGCACAGUUUUACGGGUGGUUCUUACUGAAGAUUAGUGCUUCUGCUUCGUUUGGUUCGGUUUUCUGUUGGAGUUUUGGGCGGGAAAUCAGGGCUUAGAAAACAGGAGUGAAGGAGGUUUCACUGAACUUUUGAGUCAUAGGAUAGUCUUAUUUUGAGAUUGUCCCCUGUUUCUGUUUCAAUUGCUCGCGCGUUCGGCCUCGUGUAAUUCAAUUUUUCUUCAAGACCAUUUCUAUCAUUGAAGUAUUCUGGAAGUUAGUGGCUUGUUCAAAAUUCAAACAAGCCAUACAGGAAUAAGCUGAGGUUCUUACCUUCUGUGGAGAAAGAUCGUUCUGGAUUUGCCCAUUGCAGUUUUAAUCCAACAAUUUCCAUAUCUAAU